rnacentral:tRNA from 1 species
GCCUGGGUGGCUCAGUCAGUUAAGCGUCUGACUUCAACUCAGGUCAUGAUCUCACAGUCUGUGGGUUCGGGCCCCAUGUCAGGCU